CGGCAAUUAUUUAGUGGCAAUGAUAAAAUUGCCACUAAAUAGUAUUUUAAAGCCAACAUUUACCGGCAAUUAACCUUAAGCCACUAAAAAGUAACCCUUAAUAUCACUUUCCUUUUCUCUUUUUUCCUCAAAUUUUAUUUCAUUCUCAAAUUCCCAAACUAUUUGAUCUCUCUUUCUCCAUUCCAUCUGAAGCAUAGGGUUGAUUUGAAGCUUCCUUCCAUGGCUACGAUGGAUUUGAUCUGAAGCACAAACCAAUUUUUGUUUCUUUUUGCUCGAUCUGAAGCACACAGCAAAAGGUAAUCUCUAUUUCAUUCCACUCGAUCUCUCAAUUUCUCAAUCUCUCAUUCUCGUUGGUAAGCACACAACAAGAUAAACUUGGGUUUGAUUUAAUUAACUUCGUAUAGAUUUGAAGAAAACAUAGCUGGAAAAACUUGUGUAUAUUUAGCAGAUUCCGUUUUCUUCUAUAUUUAGCUUGAGAAAACGAUGUGAAAUUCUCUGUCUCAGGAUCAGUAGUCGUGGUGAGGUAAAUAUAAAAUGUUAUUUGAAACUUGUUCUUGAACAGUUCACUCUAGAACCCUAAUUGAGUUCUAUAAUUUCCAGAGAAGAGAGAAGAUUGUUAUUGAUUGAGCAAAAUGUAUAUCUGAUGUUACAAUUGGGAGUUCUGUUACUUAUACAGAGCUGACCGAUGUAGUGACGCGUCUUGCUGGAGAUUGUUUUCACAUUAAUUGAUUUGCAUUGGGAGUUCUGUUACUUUACAAUUGUUAUUGAUUGAGAAAAUGUAUAUCAUUUGAUUUGCAUCCCCAUUGUCAUUUCCUCCGUGUAUAGCUAGUUUUUCAGUCUUUUAAUGAUUAGUUUGCUCUAGGUAGUUCUAUUUUUCAGAUCACUACCACAACUAAACAACUGAAUCAUUACAAAUAUCAAGAUCCUUUAUGUUCACAUUCUUUACAAUUCUUUUAACAACUUUUUUUCUUCCGGGUGUUUGAGGCAUAUCAUCCACUGGCAUAAUGAAAGUAACAUCUGGAGACGAGAGUGGUGACAAAGUGGUCUGCAAAUAGAAAGUUAGAUAGUAGAAAUUGAAAAUUAAUUGACAAAAAUAAAGAGAUCCAUCUUUAAAGAGAUCCAACAAUACAACAAUAAAUCCAAGCACACCAACACUAUAUAUUCGUAUGCUCCAUUCUUUAUUUUGGAUCAUAGAAUCAAAACCAAGACUUCAUUAUUAAGACAAAAAGCCAAACCAACCUAAGUUUCUUUACAUUUAGCAUAACCUGUUUCCACCAAGGCAUGCAGUUUGGAGUGACUGGUUAAAAUUUUGAACAGAUACAAACAUCAUGACAACCAAAAGAACUGAGAAAUGCAAAAUUAAACCCAACUGAUAGAAAUAUUAUCUCUAACUGCUCCAAGCAUUGAUACACAAUAACUCAUCACUCAACAACUUUUAUCUAUUUCACCACCAUGAAAAUGACCUAUAUCUAUUGAUGAAAGUUCACUCUUACUUAUCAAGGGAGUUUGAAAAAAAAUUCAAUAGAGUACCUUAACAUAUCGAAUUGGAGACCUUAGUUUUACAGUAUUAAACUCACACCGACCAAGUAAUGCCCUUUAAGACAUUCGAGCUUGGUUCCUGGGAUAGGAAGGUGGAGUAUCUGGUGGCGCAAAUCCCUGUCAAAACAAAUAGGAAUAGGCAGCUAGUUGAUGCAAGUCUAUUUGUCUAUGUAGGGGCUUAGAAAAACCAAAUAAACCGAUGAAGCCUUUCAACAUGCCAUGUAAUCCAAGUGCUAUAAUAAUACUUUGAUGAACAGCAAGCAAUAUAGCUCUUAAAGUCCAAACAUAUAUCUGUAGGCUUCUAUACAGUACAAAAUAGUUCGGAGCAAAUAUGUUAACGAAAACAAAUAAGAUCACUCCUUUACAGAAAAUGGCUUCUAAUGAUUAAUCUUAAAACACCAUUUCUGAUUUUGUCGUCAUUUUUCCACCAAAUAAAGGUUGGUUCAAUAUGGCCCCAUUGAUACGCAAUGGCUCUAAUUUUUUAUUGAGUAGUUUAAGUGCGGAAUUAAAAGCAAUGUUACCACCACAACUAACACCAUAGAGGUAACACCUUGAGAAAUCUCCAUAUUCCCUUAGCUAUUUUUCGCCAUUAACGCGAUCCAACGCUUGGUUCUUGAUCCAAAGAACUGCGUCUAUCGUGUCGUGGUAUUGAGAGGGGAGCCUAUUUUCGGGUGCUAGACCAUAAUCCAAUGCGACAACAAUGGAGGGGACUUCGCUACAUAUAUGGUUACAACUUUCAUGUAUUAUUGUACUUGCUAUGCUGAAGUGAAUCCUCCCUCCAGCAACACCGAAACAUAAUCAGAGAAGCUACUGAUUCUUACUGUUGAAAUUCUUGAGAAGGGUACCCUGCAUAUUGCAGGGUACCCUGGCACUGAAAGAGAGUUUGUUAAGCUUAAACACUAUAUCUAUAACUACUCGUCUCAAGCUUACGCUAUUUAUUUUCGUGAUUGUUUUUACAAAGAAUAUUUAGAAUUUGAAUAUAUUUUGUUUGAAUAUGAUUUAAACCCUCAAUUUCUAAAAAUUAGAAAAAUUACUCAACUUCACUAGCUUAACCAUGUGUACAUAUAUUCAUUCGACUUGACACAUUUUUUGUUGUACCCCGGCACAUUUUGCAGAUUGCAGAGUACCCUGGCACUGAAAGAGAUUGCAGAGUACCCUGACACUGAAAGAGAGUACCCUGGCACUUGUCUUAAGCUUACGUUAUUUAUUUACGUGAUUGUUUUAAUGUGUUAUCUUAAAGUUGCUUUUGAUACUAUUGUAGUGAGCUGUGGAAAUCUCCCUUCUUUAACACUAUCACAGAUAUACUGAAAACCUCCCUUCUUUCUGCAUCUGUUAUAGGCCAUGUUUCUGGGAGGAAGAACAUUGGGAUUAUGUCAGGUAUGUCUUUCUCCAAAUCUAUUUCCUCGUUAUACUGAAUUUUGAAGCUAUUGCCUUAGGUAUGUUGCAUUAUAGUCCUUCUAGGUAACACUAGGUGACUAGUCCAAUAGUAGUAGAAUAAUUUGGAAGAUGAAAUUGCAUACAUUUAUAGCAUACUCAUGUUGAUAGUCAUGCUGAUAUUCUGCUUAUACAAAAUACAAAAUGUUGAUAUUCUGCUUAUACAUGGAGCUUUACAUGUUUGAGUUACUAUAUUUGGACAAGAUGUCUUCCUUAUUGUUCUUGCAUAAUUGAUUUAUUUGACGUUGUUGUUCCAACCAAAUUGGACAAGUUGGCAAAAACUUCCUUCAUAUCUGGGCGUUCAUUUGGAUCCUCAUUCUAGCAUUUUACUGCGAAGUCUGUGAUGUUAUUAGCAAGCUCGUCAUUUAUCUUGUAGAAUUGAUUUAUCCACUAUUGAUCUUGUUUUCUCCUUGGAGCUGCUUCAUAAUCCAGUGGUGGAUUGUCAUUUUCUUCUCUAUUUCUUCAAAAUUUAGUCACCUAGUCUUAGUGAGUAAGAUAUGUAAUUGUCAUAUCAAUUUUUUGCCAUCUAACCAUAUGCCGCUAUAUGUGUACAGUGGUAUACUCAUUCAAAUGGUGAGAUCCUUCAAGGAAGGAAUGACACACUGAUCCAAAAAGCUGCAACAUUUUGCAUCAGGGAAAAAACAGUGGCUUAAUUGCCUUAUUUUCUCCAUUGUUGAACAUAUUUUUUCUAUUUUGAUAAUUCAUAGUUUCUUUUACCUCUACGAGAUAAGAAAGUGAAUGGAUUAAGAUUGUUUGUUCUUAUUUUAAGUGAAUGACAUUGUUUUGAGUUUGGUAAUUCUUCUUUAUUACCUUUGAACUUAUUUUUCUUGUAAAUUUUUAUUUUUGGUGUUAUAAAAGAGGGUUAAAUAUGUGAA
rnacentral:lncRNA from 1 species